CCCUAAUGGAUUCUCCACCACCACAGGUUCUAGCCCCCCCUUUCUCUCCCCCCCUUCCAGGUGCCGUUCCCCUCCUGGUGUCUCUCACCUCCACCUGCACCACCCCGGAGUGCCUGCACAGCUCCUCCCGCGCUCUCCGCAUCCUGGCUUCCUCUCCAUCCUCCCGUGCCUCCCUUUGCCGCGCCGGCGCUCUCCGUGCCGUGGCUUCCCGUUUGGCCACUUUACCCCCGACCCACCCGGCUUGCACUUCGGUCACCCGAGCCCUGCGGCACCUGACGGAACCCCCGAGUUCAUCUUUGGACGACGCCAUCCCGGCCCUUCGGACCCUCACUCAAUUAGCAGAAUCUCCUGAACGAGAUCGCCGGCGUCCGGCCUUAGCCGCCAUUGCUAAUUUGUGCCACCGGGCGGCGCUGCGGCCGGCUUUGGGUUGCGUCGGGGCCGUGGAGGUGGUGACCAGGGAGGUGAUGAGGAUGGUGGAAGGUGGAAAUGGGGAGGGGGGUCGGGGGGGUGGGGGUCAUUGGGGUGGUGGGGGCGGUGGGGACGGAGGUGGUGGUGGUGGUGGCCGUCAUGGCGGUCGUCACUGCGGUGGAGGUGGUGGGGAUGGAGAUGAUGAUGGUGGCCAUCGUGGUGGUGGGGAUGGAGAUGAUGGUGGUGGCCAUCAUGGUGGCCAUCGUGGUGGUCAUCGUGGUGGUCGAGAUGGAAGUGAUGGUGGUUGCAAUCAUGGUGGUGAUGGUUGCCAUCAUGGUGGUCGUGAUGGUGGAGGUGGUGGGGAUGGAGGUGGUGGUGGUCGCCAUCAUGGUGGUGCUGGUCGCCAUCGUGGUGGUGGUGGCCAUCAUGGCGGUCAUGGUGGUCUUGGGGGUGGUCGUGGGGUUGGUGGUGGCCAUGGGGAUGGCGGCCAUGUUGGCGGCCGCCAUGUUGUUGGCAGCCAUGGCGUUGGCGGUGGUGGCCAUCUUGGUGGCAGCCAUGUUGGGGGUAGCCAUGGGGUUGGUGGUGGUGGCCAUGAUGGUGUUGGGGGUGGCCAUGGGGUUGGCGGCCAUGUUGGUGGCAGCCAUGUUGCUGGCAGCCAUGAUGGUGUUGGUGAUGACCCUAGGGUUGGCGGCCAUGUUGCCGGCAGCCAUGAUGGUGUUGGUGAUGACCAUGGGGUUGGCGGCCAUGUUGCUGGCAGCCAUGUUGCUGGCAGCCAUGAUGGUGUUGGCGAUGACCAUGGGGUUGGCGGCCAUAUUGGUGUUGGCGAUGAUUCUAGGGUUGGCGGCCAUGUUGGUGGCAGUCACGGGGUUGGCAGCCAUGCUAGCGUUGGUGAUGACCAUGGGGCUGGCAGCCAUGUUGGUGGCGGCCAUAUUGUUGGCAGCCACGAUGGCGUCGGUGACGACGCCAGGCUUGGCAGCCAUGUUGGCAGCCACGUUGCCGGCAGCCGCGUGGUUGGUGGUGGCGGCCAUGCUGGUGCUCCUGGUGGUUCCAUCGUCCCCCAAAGGCCCAUCGGCAAACGUUUGCCCCCCACUGGAGCCCCUUGCCACGGCGGCGGCCCGGCAUUGCGGGCUCUUUGCCUUCUGUGCCGUGAAGCCGUCAACCGGGCCAAGGUGAGGGCGGCAGGGGGGUUGGGGACCCUGGUGACCCUCUUGGGGGACCCAAAAGCUCGGGGUUGGCACCCAAGGGUGCUGUUGGCUUUGGCCGCCUUCGCUUACGACCGGGCGGCGUUGGAGGAGUUGGAGGGGAUGGGGUUGGUGGGGGUGUUGGCCAA
rnacentral:lncRNA from 1 species